GUCCUCGUCGAUGCGCUUGAUCGGCAGGUUGGUCGGCACCUCGAGAACUUCGAGGCCGUAGAUGU
rnacentral:sRNA from 1 species